UUCGGGGUCGUCUAACGGCAGGACGCAACGCUUUGAACGUUGAAACAAAGGUUCAAAUCCUUUCCCCGAAGCCA
rnacentral:tRNA from 1 species